rnacentral:lncRNA from 1 species
CAUGAUCUAUGUGCUAUCAAAAUGAAGAACAUUUUUGUAACAGAAAUUUAUAUUUCAUUUUUUAGAGAAACCAUCCUUGUUAAAGAUGUGACAUUAAUCCCUCCAAACCUACAAAACACAAUUGAUAAGGUAAGUUGCAGAUUAUCUGAGAUAUUUUUGAUUAUCAUCCCAAGAAAUGUAGCAUACAUGUAUUACUCUUCUUUCAUUUAUAUGAUAAUGAAGAUACAUGUAUCUUGUAAUUUGUACAGUUGUAUAUGUAUUUCUGCCAUCUGUCACUGUUAAUUUAAAUGUACAUUAGGGGUCAGUAAAUAAUCAAAACAUGAUACAUGUAUAAAGACUAAUGGUGUGUAUUUUCAUUAAAUAAUACACAGGUUUUUUUUUGUGUUCAGAUUGAUAGCAAUUUUGUUGUCAAUUGUUGUAGUGUCAUUGAUAAAUGAAUGAAAUAAAUGGUUGUACCUAAAAUUAUUUGAAACAUGUCUGAACUUAACUUAUAUAUAGAUACAAUUACAUUGUAUUAUAACCAAUUUUUAUUUACAUUUGUAUAUCUAUAUGUACAUGUACAUGAUCAAUGUAUCAAUGAUGACAAGGAACUUUUUAAUUUAAAUUUCAGAGAUGCUAAUUAACCUUGUUAAUGACUGUGGAGAACUUAUGCUACAUUUACCUAAUACACAGACAAACACAAAUGGGCAUACAUGUAGGUAAUAAAUAGAGCAGUUUUCUAAGAUACAUGUUCAUGUUUAUUGUUAUAUCAUGUAUAUUAUGCCUUGUCUUUAAAAAAUAUAGAUAUGAAACAUGAACACAUACAUUUUUUGUAUGUACAUGUUCCAUGUUUACAUGUAUUAGAGAGUUAUCUAACCUGUUUAAAAGCUGAUAACUACUUAGUACUAUCAAAAUUUUAGUCUAUUUGUUUCUCUAUUUGUCCAUGAUUUAUCUUAUAAUGGAUAGAGUUUGAAAAUUAAAUCUAUAAAGUUGGAUAAAAUAUUCAUAAUGCUUGCAUUGGUACAAAGCCAUUUUGAAAAUAAGAAGAUGUGGUAUGAUUGCCAAUAUGAAAACUCUCCCCAAUACAUGUACUUCACAUGACAUAUAAAGGAACCACUUUAAGUCACCAUACAACCUUACACAAUAAGACAAACCCAUACUACAUAAUCAGCUAUAAAUUUAAACAAUUCAAAGGAGAAGACUAAAUACAACUACUGAAUUAUUGGUUAUAUACAGCAUUAAAAUACAACUACUGAAUUACUGGUUCCUGACUUGGGACAGGCACAUACAGAAUGUGGCAGGGAUAAACUAGAUUGAACUUUAUUAAAAAAUUACCCAUUAUCAAACUAAAAAUGCCUAUUACUAAGUGAACUCAGAUUACUCUGCUGUUUACAUAUUUGUUAAACUAUAAUUUGCUUCUUGUAGAAAUUAGCCUGUGAGAUCAAGAUGCAGAUAUAUCCACCAGAUACCAAAUGCCACACCAAAGCAGACAUUUUCAAAUGUUGAGAGACCUAUGAAUACAUCUACAUCCUUCUUCGGACUUUGAAACAACUGAUUGAGUAUGUUAGCUAACAUUUAAUCAAUUAUGUUUGAACAGUGCUACACAACAGCCUGGGUGGAUUUUGCUUUUUCCACCGGCCCACUCCAACUUUAAUCUCUUUUUUGUUAAAAUAUUGAUAUCUAAUGCUUAUCUGCUUUUUUUCAAUUGAUUGUACUUGCAAGUCUUUUGAUUAAACAAAAGAAAUUGCAUGCCCACUCCUAUGGGUGGGCAGAGUUGACAAGCUAGAAAGUUUGCCCACUCCCACUGUGGACGGGUGGAGCCAACGCAAAAUCCACCUGAGCUGUAGUGUAUAUUUGAAAGUCAAUGACUUCUAUUAAAAAAAAGAAAAAAGAAAUCUAGAACUUUACAAUCUUUUUUUUAAUAUGCCCCUAUUUAUAUACAAAAGAAGAUGUCAUAUGAUUGCCAAAGAUACAACUCUCCACAAGAAACCAAGUGACACAGAAAUUAACAGCUACAGGUCAUUGUAAGGCCUUCAACAAUGAGCAAAGCCCAUACCGCAUAUUCAGCUAUAAAAGGCACUGAAAUGACAAAUGAAAUAUUAUGCAUGGUGGGGGUGAAAUAAAAAGUGUCUUCUGACCCCUGAUCCCCCUACAUUUAUUUCUGGAACAUCCCUCAGUGUUGCAACACAUAAACACAUUUGGUAGUCAGAUUGCUUUCAACCAUAUACUAUAGUGAUAGUUUUCUUCUUCAGAAUGCUAAAUUUAAAAGUUUUAAUUAAUUUGUGAUGAAUUUUCUUUUUUACUUCCAGUUAGGCAAGAUGUUAUCUCUCAUAUCAAAGAGAUGGAAUAUGAAACUGGCAGCCAGUAUUGAUAUAAUGUGGUACUAAAAGCUCCAAUACCAUCAGGGGCUGAAGACAUAACAGGAAUUGUGUGGGAUUUGACCAACCUUAGACUAAAGAGAAAAGUUGUUGCUGCAUUACAGAUAUUUUGAACUCAGCAAUUUUUAUUAAUGUUUUUAAUGUUAAUUCUCUCUCUUAUGAAUAAUAUGAUAUCUAUACUUGCAAUGAGCAUGAAUUGAAAGUUCCUCAUGUCUGUAAAACUGUUUUCCCUUGACAUUGACCACAUUUCAUGGAUCGGUGAAAAAAGUUAUGUACCCAUGGUCAAGUCCAUGUAUCAGAUUCAAAAAGCAAUAGGUCUGCUUAAUUUGGUAUACUGUAUGAUUGAUCCUGAUCUCAUUGUCAUGCUUUAUUGAUCAAUGUUAAUAUUCAAAAGAUUUAAUAUUGAUUGUACAUUGUAUAUAUAGAUAUGAUAAUAUUUAUUUGUAUCCUUUGAACCAUCAUGACCAUGUUAUA